AGAGAUAGAGGAGUGCUCGAAAGAGAGCCGUAACACAGGUGCUGCAUGGCUGUCGUCAGCUCGUGUCGUGAGAUGUUGGGUUAAGUCCCGCAACGAGCGCAACCCUUGUCAUUAGUUGCUACAUUCAGUUGGGCACUCUAAUGAGACUGCCGGUGACAAACCGGAGGAAGGUGGGGAUGACGUCAAGUCCUCAUGGCCCUUAUAGGUGAGGCUACACACGUCAUACAAUGGAUGGUACAAAGGGUCGCCAACCCGCGAGGGGGAGCCAAUCCCAUAAAGCCAUUCGUAGUCCGGAUCGCAGUCUGCAACUCGACUGCGUGAAGUCGGAAUCGCUAGUAAUCGUGGAUCAGAAUGUCACGGUGAAUACGUUCCCGGGUCUU
rnacentral:rRNA from 1 species